GACGUAGGGGGCCAGCGUUGCUCGGAAUUACUGGGCGUAAAGGGUCCGUAGGCGGUGCGGUAAGUCGGGAGUGAAAUCUCUGGGCUUAACUCAGAGGCUGCUUCCGAAACUACCGUGCUAGAGUGCGAGAGAGGCAAGUGGAAUUGCGGGUGUAGCGGUGAAAUGCGUAGAUAUGUGGAGGAACACCGAUGGCGAAGGCAGCCCCCUGGGUCAAGAUUGACGCUCAUGCACGAAAGCGUGGGGAGCAAACAGG
rnacentral:rRNA from 1 species